GAAGAGGUAAGCAGAAUUUAUGGUGUAGUAGUGAAAUGCUUAGAUAUCAUAAGGAAUACCAAUAGCGUAGGCAGCUUACUGGUCUUUAACUGACGCUGAGGCACGAAGGCGUGGGGAGCAAACAGGAUUAGAUACCCUGGUAGUCCACGCCGUAAACGAUGAUCACUCGAUAUACAUGAUACAUCAUGUGUGUCUAAGCGAAAGCGUUAAGUGACCCACCUGGGGAGUAUACUCGCAAGGGUGAAACUCAAAGGAAUCGACGGGGGUCCGCACAAGCGGUGGAGUAUGUGGUUUAAUUCGAUAAUACGCGAGGAACCUUACCUGGGCUAGAAUGUGUUUUGCUACCUUGAGAAAUUGAGGGUUCCUUCGGGACGGAAUACAAGGUGCUGCAUGGCUGUCGUCAGCUCGUGCCAUGAGGUGUUGGGUUAAGUCCUAUAACGAGCGAAACCCUUUUACUUAAUUGCCAGCACGUAAUGGUGGGGACUUUAAGUAGACUGCCCGUGUAAGCGGGAGGAAGGAGAGGACGAGGUCAAGUCAUCAUGGCCUUUAUGCCCAGGGCUACACACGUACUACAAUGGCAUGUACAAAGGGAAGCUACUUGGCAACAAGAUGCAAAUCUCAAAAGCAUGUCUCAGUUCGGAUUGAGGUCUGCAAUUCGACCUCAUGAAGUUGGAAUCGCUAGUAAUCGCGUAUCAGCAAUGACGCGGUGAAUACGUUCUCGGACCUUGUACACACCGCCCAUCAAGCCAUG
rnacentral:rRNA from 1 species